CCCUCAGGUGGCGCAAUGGGUCAGUGCAGCUGGCUGUUAACCAGAAGGUUGGUGGUUCAAGCCCACCCAGGGA
rnacentral:tRNA from 1 species